rnacentral:rRNA from 1 species
AUGCAAGUCGAACGGCAGCAUAGGUGCUUGCACCUGAUGGCGAGUGGCGAACGGGUGAGUAAUGCAUCGGAACGUGCCCAAUCGUGGGGGAUAACGCAGCGAAAGCUGUGCUAAUACCGCAUACGAUCUAUGGAUGAAAGCGGGGGACCUUCGGGCCUCGCGCGAUUGGAGCGGCCGAUGUUAGAUUAGGUAGUUGGUGGGGUAAAGGCUCACCAAGCCGACGAUCUAUAGCUGGUCUGAGAGGACGACCAGCCACACUGGAAUUGAGACACGGUCCAGACUCCUACGGGAGGCAGCAGUGGGGAAUUUUGGACAAUGGGCGCAAGCCUGAUCCAGCAAUACCGCGUGCAGGAAGAAGGCCUUCGGGUUGUAAACUGCUUUUGUACGGAACGAAAAGGCUCUUUCUAAUAAAGAGGGCUCAUGACGGUACCGUAAGAAUAAGCACCGGCUAACUACGUGCCAGCAGCCGCGGUAAUACGUAGGGUGCGAGCGUUAAUCGGAAUUACUGGGCGUAAAGCGUGCGCAGGCGGUUUUGUAAGACAGACGUGAAAUCCCCGGGCUCAACCUGGGAAUUGCGUUUGUGACUGCAAGGCUAGAGUACGGUAGAGGGGGGUAGAAUUCCGCGUGUAGCAGUGAAAUGCGUAGAUAUGCGGAGGAACACCGAUGGCGAAGGCAGCCCCCUGGACCUGUACUGACGCUCAUGCACGAAAGCGUGGGGAGCAAACAGGAUUAGAUACCCUGGUAGAAGGGCG